ensembl:rRNA 5S_rRNA 5S ribosomal RNA
GCCUACAGCCAUACCAUUCUGAGGGUGCCUUAUCUCCUCUGAUCUAGGGAGGUAAGCAGGGUCAGCCUGGUAGUACUUGGAUGGGAGACCACCUGGGAAUACCAGGUGCUAAAAGCU